rnacentral:rRNA from 1 species
ACUGUUUAGCUGCACGUAAGAAUCUACCCUUUAGUGAAGAAUACCUUCGAGAAAUCGAGGCUAAUACUGCAUACGUCCCCUCGGGGAGAAAGACGGCCUCUUGCUGUCGCUGAAGGAUGAGCUUGCGGACUAUUAGCUUGUUGGUGGGGUAAAGGCCUACCAAGGCGAUUAUGGUUAGCCGACCUGAGAGGGUGAACGGCCACACUGGGACUGAGAUACGGCCCAGACUCCUACGGGAGGCAGCAGUGGGGAAUAUUGCACAAUGGGCGAAAGCCUGAUGCAGCGACGCCGCGUGGAGGAUGACGGUUUUCGGAUUGUAAACUCCUGUUAAGUGGGAAGAAAUAUUUACGGGUAAUAUCCGUAAAAGAUGACGGUACCACUAUAGAAAGCUCCGGCUAACUUCGUGCCAGCAGCCGCGGUAAUACGAAGGGAGCAAGCGUUAUUCGGAAUUACUGGGCGUAAAGAGCGUGCAGGCGGUUGAUUAAGUUGGUUGUUAAAUUCCCUGGCUCAACUAGGGGGCUGCAAUCGAUACUGGUCGACUAGAGGGCAAGAGAGAGAAGUGGAAUUCUCGGAGUAGCGGUAAAAUGCAUAGAUCUCGAGAGGAACACCGGUUGCGAAGGCGACUUUUUGGCUUGUACCUGACGCUGAAGCGCGAAAGCGUGGGGAGCAAACAGGAUUAGAUACCCUGGUAGUCCACGCCGUAAACGAUGAUCACUAGAUGUGGGUUUUGCUUAACAGAAUCUGUGUCGAAGCUAACGCGUUAAGUGAUCCGCCUGGGGAGUACGGUCGCAAGAUUAAAACUUAAAGGAAUUGGCGGGGGAGCAC